rnacentral:lncRNA from 1 species
UAAGAAGAAAAAGAUAAACAUUUGCAGAAAGAGAGAGAGAUCUUCUUAUUCAUUCGCACUAUUCUUCCAUCUCACACUCUAUCUAGUCUCUAUGAAUGUGUAGGUAAGUUAUUUGUAGUUAAAGUGAACAUGAUGAUAAACUUUAGAUUUGUUUGAAUUGAAAACUUUUUCUUUUUAUCUAUUUUUGAAAAAAAGAAAGAAGAGAAGCUAAUAUGUAGCGUGAUGAACAAUUCAAUCUCUGUUUCAAAUUUUGUUGUUGAUUUGUUUACUUUAUUUUUUUUAUAAUUGCAGUUCAAUUGAAGUGAAUGCUGAUUUUAUUAUCUCUUUGACUAGGAUCUGGUUGUAUAAUUCUUCUUCUUUGAUCUUUGCUGCGAGAGCAUUUCAAUUUGACUUUAAUUUGAAGAAAAAAGAUCUGAUCUGUGCUACAUCUGGUUUGCUGGAUUAAUAUUUAACUUAGUCCAUCUUUGAACUUGGGGUUUCUUUAAUUAUGUAUGUAAUGUGAUGAAGCAGAAGAAGAAGUAAAAGAGGAUUUUGG